rnacentral:rRNA from 1 species
CGUGUAGGCGGCUCAUCAAGUCUGGUGUGAAAACGCAAGGCUUAACCUUGCGUAUGCGCUGGAAACUGGUGGGCUUGAGUUCCUGAGGGGAAGCUGGAAUUCCAGGUGUAGGGGUGAAAUCUGUAGAUAUCUGGAAGAACACCGGUGGCGAAGGCGAGCUUCUAUCAGAGGACUGACGCUGAGGCGCGAAAGCGUGGGGAGCAAACAGGAUUAGAUACCCUGGUAGUCCACGCUGUAAACGAUGUGCACUAGGCGUGGGGCCCGUACGGGUUCUGUGCCGUAGUUAACGUGUUAAGUGCACCGCCUGGGGAUAUGCUCGCAAGGGUGAA